rnacentral:rRNA from 1 species
CCUACGGGUGGCAGCAGUGGGUAAUAUUGGGCAAUGGUCGCAAGCCUGACCCAGCAACGCCGCGUGAAGGAAGAAGGCCUCCGGGUUGUAAACUUCUUUUAUCAGGGACGAAGCAAGUGACGGUACCUGUUGAAUAAGCCACGGCCAACUACGCGCCAGCAGCCGCGGUAAUACGUAGGUGGCAAGCGUUAUCCGGAUUUACUGGGUGUAAAGGGCGUGUAGGCGGGAGUGCAAGUCAGCUGUGAAAACUAUGGGCUCAACCCAUAGCCUGCAUUUGAAACUGUACUUCUUGAGUGCUGGAGAGGCAAUCGGAAUUCCGUGUGUAGCGGUGAAAUGCGUAGAUAUACGGAGGAACACCAGUGGCGAAGGCGGAUUGCUGGACAGUAACUGACGCUGAGGCGCGAAAGCGUGGGGAGAAAACAGGAUUAGAUGCCCUAGUAGUC